GUACUCGCUUUGACGGUACACAUACUAAAAUUGGAACGAUACAGAGAAGAUUAGCAUGGCCCGUGCGCAAGGCUGACACGCCGGCAAGGUAAUUCAGCGUGUU